rnacentral:rRNA from 1 species
AUUGAACGCUGGCGGCAGGCCUAACACAUGCAAGUCGAGCGGAUGAAGGGAGCUUGCUCCUGGAUUCAGCGGCGGACGGGUGAGUAAUGCCUAGGAAUCUGCCUGGUAGUGGGGGAUAACGUCCGGAAACGGGCGCUAAUACCGCAUACGUCCUGAGGGAGAAAGUGGGGGAUCUUCGGACCUCACGCUAUCAGAUGAGCCUAGGUCGGAUUAGCUAGUUGGUGGGGUAAAGGCCUACCAAGGCGACGAUCCGUAACUGGUCUGAGAGGAUGAUCAGUCACACUGGAACUGGGACACGGUCCAGACUCCUACGGGAGGCAGCAGUGGGGAAUAUUGGACAGUGGGCGAAAGCCUGAUCCAGCCAUGCCGCGUGUGUGAAGAAGGUCUUCGGAUUGUAAAGCACUUUAAGUUGGGAGGAAGGGCAGUAAGUUAAUACCUUGCUGUUUUGACGUUACCAACAGAAUAAGCACCGGCUAACUUCGUG